GAAAUUAUGGAAAAGGUCAAAUUAGAGUAUGAAAUGAUAAAAAGGUCACCUAGUUUCCCACUUGAUAAAAAGGUCCAUCAUGAAUUGUUAGUAAUAUUAAUUUAGUCCUUGUUAAUAAUGAGGUGAUGUUAAAAAAAGUCGGUUUAUGAUAUUUUCGUUUCCGAUUUUACCCCUAUUAGUAACCUACCCGAAUUGUGUUUCAAUUUCAAAAAAACCAGAUCAGUUCUCUCUCUCCUCCCCACGCUACUCUCCGACUCUCCAUCGACCCCCUCGCCGUCUCCGAAGUCGAUGUCGUUUGCGCCUAUCCUUCUCCGGCUGGAGCCGAGUCGCCGGUGACCAUUGGACCUCCAUAUCCGACUGGAAAGCGACCUAGAGACGAACUGGAAGCCGACGACAAUCAUGAAGACGACGGGAGCUGCGGUUGAGAUUAGGCUUUUGAGACUCGAUCUGUACCUAUAGCUUCUUCUUCCUCAUCGCAGAUUUCGCUCGCCUCUACUCCGCCAUCGAGUCCGACAUUGAAGCUGCUCUUCAGAAAGCGGAGCUUGCUUCAAAAGAAAAAAGUAUGGCAUCUGCAGGUGCUCUGACUGCCAAGAUUCGCCGGACCAAGGCUCCAUUGCUUGAAGAGGUUCCCAAGUUGCAGAGAUUGGCUGUAAAGAAGCUAGCAUAUCUGCCUGAUAAAAAACGGGAAUAUGUGAUUGAUGAUGAUGCUCUAAGUCAUGCUUCCGAGCUUUCAGUGGAAGGAAGAGAUGAUAUCACUAAUCUUGAUGAGUUGGUCAAGGAUUACAAAAGAAACAGAAGACGUGGAAUGCUCGGAUGGCUUAAACUGAAACUGUAAAUUGGAAGAAACGAUUGCAUGUCUUGUUGACUUGAGCUUCAUAUAGUUAGUCCAAAGUUGGAGAUAGGCUACACACAUCAAUGGAUGUCAGUUAGUGAAUCCAGCGCUCAAGAGUUGGAGAGUUCCAUGAAAGUUUUGACAAAAGUGGACUUGGACUUGGCAUAUUCUGCUGAGAAGUUGGCAAAUCUACAGGAGCUUAUGAUGCGCCUAUUCUCUCAAGAAAAUGAUCUUGAAGCAAUGGCCACCGCAAAUAACUAUAUCAUGAGAAACUAUUGUGAUUCAGAUUUUUCUAGAUUUUGUUUUAAAAAGUUUGUCAUUUCACUAUCUAUAAGGCCAAUGUUGUGGUAUAUGGUUUUGACUGAAAAUCUAGCAGUCUUUUUCCUACUUGUUCUGGUUUUUGUAUGUAUAUUUGUUAAAUCAGAGGAGUAUAGUUAUGAUUUUCGCAAUCAAGCCUUCUUUGAUUUGCAUUAAGCCCUCUUGUA